AGAAUAAGUAAAGCUUUAGGUGCCCCAAAAUGUGGGAGAAUAGGGAAUCGGGUGAAAAUCCCGGACGGGCCCGCCACUGUAAAGAGGGAGUAAAUGCCAGGAAGCCACCUCACAAAGAGGGAAGGCGGCAUAAGACGAUGAUCUUGAGUCAGGAGACCUGCCUAAAAUGAACCAGUCGA
rnacentral:ncRNA from 2 species